UGCCGGGGUGGCGGAACUGGCAGACGCACAGGACUUAAAAUCCUGCGGUGAGAGAUCACCGUACCGGUUCGAUUCCGGUCCUCGGCACCAA
rnacentral:tRNA from 1 species